AGUCAACAAGAGAAGGAGAUGGUAUUUCAAAAGAAAAGAAUAGAACAAAGAUAUAAAAGGUUGGGAAAGGUGCUAAAGGAGAACUGGAAAUUAACUCUGGGAUGUGGUAAAGCAUCUAUAACAACAAUCUGCAUUUCACAGUAAGUGAUAUUUAUAGUCCAUUGAAUACCACUGAAAAGGAGUUCCCAGUAAGGGAUGUGCAUAAUAAAUCAGGCCACCUAAGCAUUGUUGGCAGUCACAUCCAACAUCAUAUCCCUGGCUAAAUGUGCUCUGCUUAGAGCAACUCCAGCAGGAACUCAGACAGCUAAUGUGUGUGUGUUUUUGUAGGUAAAAAGCUGGAGCAUCUUCCUUACUAGAGAACCAUGAUGUGAACACUCAGAGCUCUUUCUCCACUCUUUCUACCUCAAAGCCUACUGUGUGCAGUCAACACAGGAAAUUGACUCUUUGGGUGUGGCAACUCUGUGGUAGAGACAAUGGAAUCACAGAAAAGAAAAGGGAGGCAAGUCCUGAAUCACACACCACAUGACUGGAACCAAUAGAACGAUGCAAAAAUAAAAGAUGAUGAAUGGCACUGUUUUCCCACCAAAUUAAGCAAUUGCAAGCAUCAGGAGUCUGUGCAAUUGUGAUAUUUGUGGACAGGAGCAUGAGACAAUGAUUACAUAAUGAUGUGUCAACUCUACUCCUAAUAAGGCAAACUGGGGGAGUUUAGCAGUACUGACUCAAAGUGUUCUCUAGAAUUCACAGAGGAAGAAUCCAUUUAUCAUGUGUUUGUACCUUCCAAUUAAAA